UUGAACGCUGGCGGCAGGCCUAACACAUGCAAGUCGAGCGGAUGAAGGGAGCUUGCUCCUGGAUUCAGCGGCGGACGGGUGAGUAAUGCCUAGGAAUCUGCCUGGUAGUGGGGGAUAACGUCCGGAAACGGGCGCUAAUACCGCAUACGUCCUGAGGGAGAAAGUGGGGGAUCUUCGGACCUCACGCUACCAGAUGAGCCUAGGUCGGAUUAGCUAGUUGGUGGGGUAAAGGCCUACCAAGGCGACGAUCCGUAACUGGUCUGAGAGGAUGAUCAGUCACACUGGAACUGAGACACGGUCCAGACUCCUACGGGAGGCAGCAGUGGGGAAUAUUGGACAAUGGGCGAAAGCCUGAUCCAGCCAUGCCGCGUGUGUGAAGAAGGUCUUCGGAUUGUAAAGCACUUUAAGUUGGGAGGAAGGGCAGUAAGUUAAUACCUUGCUGUUUUGACGUUACCAACAGAAUAAGCACCGGCUAACGUCGUG
rnacentral:rRNA from 1 species